UUGUGAUUUGUUUUCAUAGGUGUCCACAAUCAUGUCUGCAAGUACCACCACACUCCGGUACCCAGGCUAUAUGAAUAAUGAUCUAAUUGGACUGAUUGCUUCCCUUAUUCCCACUCCAAGGCUUCAUUUUCUCAUGACUGGCUAUACUCCGCUUACGACAGAUCAAUCAGUGGCAAGUAUACGUAAAACUACAGUCCUGGAUGUCAUGCGAAGACUGUUGCAACCAAAGAAUGUGAUGGUGUCCACUGGCAGAGA